ensembl:rRNA 5S_rRNA 5S ribosomal RNA
GACCACAGCUAUAUCACCCUGCAGCCCAUGAGUGGUUACUCAGUGAAGCUAAGCAGGGCUGAGCCUGGUCAGUACCUAGAUGGGAGACCACAUGGGAAAACUAGGUUGCUGUAGGCA